rnacentral:rRNA from 1 species
AUGAUUAUUCAAAAAAUUUAUGCUCGGCUUUCUCUAAAUGAUCGCACCAUGCUCGAUACUUCCUAUGUUGGUUCUUAUAUGCUGAAGACUAUUGAAUUCAAAUGGGACUUGUUGGAAAGAAUUAAACGAAACUCUAAAGAUUGGGGUUCCGACAAUGGUAAGGAGUCAGGUAUGACACCUAAGUUUGAUUGUGUUAAGUCUUUUAUGGAUACCCAUGCUUUUCGUGGAUUUAGCACUAAAUAUGGACUUGACUCUGAGAUAGUAGCUUCUUUCUGUGAAUCUUUUGCUACUCACGUUGAUCUCCCUAAGGAGAAGUGGUUUAAAUAUAAUCCUUCCAUUGAAGUAAAAGUAGUUGCACCUGUUAUAGUUGAAGAAAAGACUAUCACUUAUAAUGAUCCUAUUGUUCCUAAUACUUAUGUUGAGAAACCACCUUUCCCUGUUAGGAUAAAGGAUCAUGCUAAAGCUUCAACUGUUGUUCGUAAGAGUAAUACUAGAACAUAUACACCCUUUGAGAAAAUUAAAGUUGAACCUAGUAUUGUUAUGGUUAAAGAUAUCUUGGCUGAUAAUAUAGAUGGACAUGUUAUCUACUUCUGUGAGGAAGCUGCUAAUUUUGCUAGACCCGAUGUUAAGAUACAUAGACAUGUUGUAGGCAUGCCUGUUAUUUCUAUUAAAAUAGGAGAUCAUUGUUAUCAUGGCUUAUCUGAUAUGGGUGCUAGUGCAAGUGCAAUACCUAUUUCCUUAUAUGAAGAAAUUAUGCAUGAUAUUGCACCCGCCGAGUUAGAAGAUAUUGAUGUUACUAUUAAGCUUGCAAAUAGAGAUACUAUUUCACCAAUUGGGAUUGUUAGAGAUGUUGAAGUCUUGUGUGGGAAAGUUAAAUAUCCUGCUGAUUUUCUUGUUCUUGGUUCCCCACAAGAUAGCUUUUGUCCCAUUAUAUUUGGUAGACCCUUCUUGAAUACUGUCAAUGCUAGGAUUGAUUGUGAAAAGGAUGUUGUCACUAUUGGUCUGGGGAAUAUGACACAUGAGUUUAAUUUUGCUAAAUUCUGUAGACAACCCCAUGAUAAAAAAUUGCCUAGUAAGUAUGAAAUUAUUGGUAUUGCUUCUAUUGUCGUGCCUCCUACUGAUCCUUUAGAACAAUAUUUGCUAGACCAUAAAAAUGAUAUGUUUAUGAAUGAAAGAAGGGAGAUAGAUGAAGUGUUCCUUAAACAGGGUCCUAUUCUGAACACAACUUACCUAUUGAAAUCCUUGGGGAUCCUCCUCCACCCAAGGGUCAUCCCGUGUUUGGGAUCAAACCUUUACCUGAUACUCUUAAAUAUGCUUAUCUUGAUGAAAAGAAGAUAUAUCCUAUUAUUAUUAGUGCUAACCUUUCAGAGCAAGAAGAGGAAAGAUUAUUGA